rnacentral:rRNA from 1 species
GGAUUGCAGGCUGCAACUCGCCUGCAUGAAGUUGGAAUUGCUAGUAAUCGCGGAUCAGCAUGCCGCGGUGAAUACGUUCCCGGGCCUUGUACACACCGCCCGUCACACCAUGGGAGCCGGUAAUACCCGAAGUCAGUAGCCUAACCGCAAGGGGGGGCGCUGCCGAAGGUAGGAUUGGCGACUGGGGUGAAGUCGUAACAAGGUACC